UUGCCUACGGGAGGCAGCAGUGGGGAAUAUUGGACAAUGGGCGCAAGCCUGAUCCAGCCAUGCCGCGUGUGUGAAGAAGGCCUUCGGGUUGUAAAGCACUUUUGUUGGGGAAGAAAACCUGUUGGUUAAUACCCGGCGGGAAUGACGGUACCCAAAGAAUAAGCACCGGCUAACUUCGUGCCAGCAGCCGCGGUAAUACGAAGGGUGCAAGCGUUACUCGGAAUUACUGGGCGUAAAGCGUGCGUAGGUGGUUCGGUAAGUCUGCCGUGAAAGCCCCGGGCUCAACCUGGGAAUGGCGGUGGAUACUGGCGGACUAGAGUGCGGUAGAGGGUGGUGGAAUUCCCGGUGUAGCAGUGAAAUGCGUAGAGAUCGGGAGGAACAUCUGUGGCGAAGGCGGCCACCUGGACCAGCACUGACACUGAGGCACGAAAGCGUGGGGAGCAAACAGGAUUAGAUACCCGAGUAGUC
rnacentral:rRNA from 1 species